GACGUAGGGCGCGAGCGUUGUUCGGAAUUACUGGGCGUAAAGCGUGCGCAGGCGGUGAUGUAAGACAGUUGUGAAAUCCCCGGGCUCAACCUGGGAACUGCAUCUGUGACUGCAUCGCUGGAGUGCGGCAGAGGGGGAUGGAAUUCCGCGUGUAGCAGUGAAAUGCGUAGAUAUGCGGAGGAACACCGAUGGCGAAGGCAAUCCCCUGGGCCUGCACUGACGCUCAUGCACGAAAGCGUGGGGAGCAAACAGG
rnacentral:rRNA from 1 species